rnacentral:rRNA from 1 species
GACUAGCGCUGGCGGUGUGUCUUAGACAUGCAAGUCGAGCGGGACUCCUUCUGGUAGCAAUACCGGGCUGAGUCUAGCGGCGAACGGGUGAGUAAUGCAAGGGCAACCUGCCCUGAGGUGAGGAACAACCUGUCGAAAGGCGGGCUAAUUCCACGUGUGUUGCAGCCUCGGCAUCCUGGCUGCAAUAAAGGCGCCGCAAGGUGCCGCCUCUUGAGGGGCUCUUGUUCUAUCAGCUUGAUGGCGGGGUAACGGCCCACCAUGGCUCCGACGGAUAGUCGGCGUGAGAGCGUGACCGGCCACAGGGGAACUGAGACACGGUCCCCACUCCUACGGGAGGCAGCAGUCUAGAAAUUUGGGCAAUGGGCGAAAGCCUGACCCAGCGACACCGCGUGGAGGAUGAAGUCUCUCGGGAUGUAAACUCCUGUCAG